AGGGAUCAUUACCGAGUUUACAACUCCCAAACCCAAUGUGAACGUUACCAAACUGUUGCCUCGGCGGGAUCUCUGCCCCGGGUGCGUCGCAGCCCCGGACCAAGGCGCCCGCCGGAGGACCAACCAAAACUCUUAUUGUAUACCCCCUCGCGGGUUUUUUUAUAAUCUGAGCCUUCUCGGCGCCUCUCGUAGGCGUUUCGAAAAUGAAUCAAAACUUUCAACAACGGAUCUCUUGGUUCUGGCAUCGAUGAAGAACGCAGCGAAAUGCGAUAAGUAAUGUGAAUUGCAGAAUUCAGUGAAUCAUCGAAUCUUUGAACGCACAUUGCGCCCGCCAGUAUUCUGGCGGGCAUGCCUGUCCGAGCGUCAUUUCAACCCUCGAACCCCUCCGGGGGGUCGGCGUUGGGGAUCGGCCCUGCCUUGGCGGUGGCCGUCUCCGAAAUACAGUGGCGGUCUCGCCGCAGCCUCUCCUGCGCAGUAGUUUGCACACUCGCAUCGGGAGCGCGGCGCGUCCACAGCCGUUAAACACCCAACUUCUGAAAUGUUGACCUCGGAUCAGGUAGGAAUACCCGCUGAACUUAAGCAUAUCAUA
rnacentral:rRNA from 1 species